UUCAUAGCGGCCCUUCUGAUGUUCAUUCAUAAAAUUUGCAGCAAUAAAAGUCCAUGACGCUCCGAAUUUUUCCUGUAAAAAUUCCUGAGUAACAUAUGGAUGACUCAAGCGAUCAAAAUCCCAAAUUCCCUCUCUUUCAAGUUCUUCCUGACUUAGAGGAAUAGAUGGUCGGAAUUUUCCGAUUAGGCCCGUCAUAGCAUGCUCUGGAAGUUCCCAGAUCCUAAAGAAACCCAAUAUAUGAUCAAUCCUGUAUGCUGUGAAGUAUUUGGCCAUCUGAGUUAAACGAGCACGCCACCAAGCAUAGUUGUCUUUUGACAUUUCCUCCCAAUUAUAAGUAGGAAAUCCCCAAUUCUGUCCAUUUUUAUCAAAGUAAUCAGGAGGUGCUCCCGUAGAUGUGUUCAUCCGAAAUAGAUUCAGAUAAACCCAAGUAUCCACACUGUUUUUGUCAACACCAAUAGGUAGAUCUCCUUUCAAUAUCACUCCAUUCUUUCUUGCAUAUUCUGCAGCUUCUGACAACUGCAAAUGCAAGUGGAAUUGAAUAUAAUAAUGGAAGCAAAUUAUGUCAUAGUGCAAGCUGUCUUUCGAGACUACUUUCUCAAGCUUCUCCUUGGAAUAAUGAGAAAAACGACCCCAUUGGCUGUGAUCUGAAGUUUCAAAGAAGUCUCGCAAAAAACAGAAGGCUGCAUAGGGUUUUAACCAUUCCUCAUUCUCUAAGAAAUAUUGCUGAAAGGAACUGGAGUUAAGUAUCAAAUCCUUCUCUUGGGCAAAAACUUUCUUGGCAAUUGAAAGUUUAGUAGCCAUAGUAGCCUCAUAAUCAACAUCCUUUCCAUCCAAUUUUUCUUUAGCAUCCUGAAUCUCUUUCUUGACAUCCUCUUUCAGAUUUUUUGAAAGUGCCUGUACUCUCAAGUACAGUGGGUGCAAUGCAAAAACCGAUAGCGAGCUGUAAGGAUAUGAAUCCCACCACAUCCCAUGCACAGAUGUGUCGUUGAUUGGCAGAAGUUGAACCAAAUGAAACCCAGACUCCACAGCCCAAUCAACAAGAAGUUUCAGGUCAAGAAACUCACCAACUCCAAGAUCAUUCUCUGAUCUAACAGAAAACAUGGGAAUUGCAACACCAGCACCCCGCCAAGGCAUUUCUCGCAACAUGCCAUCAGAAAGAAAAAUAUAUCUUGGUGGAAUUUUUGAAGCGUCAAAAGAGAGGUCCCGAUUUUGACCAGUUUCCAAAGAAAAGUUCCCUGCCUUGCCAUAUUUGCAGUACUUAUAUUUUAUAGGAAAUUCACUCCUUGGCAUAACAGCAUCCACUUGCCAAAUUGAGUCACCAGCAUAGCUAAGUUUAAGUCCAUUCUGAACCUUCCACCGGCCUAAUUUUGCAGUGCCGCCAAUCACAUAUACUGAUGUCUCUUCUUCAACAUUAGGGCAGCAAAUUUUGAAAUGGACAAGAAUUUCAUCUUCCUUGUCCAACUUAUUCUGGACCCCUAGAGGUCUUUCUGUGCUCAAAUUCCAACUUUUGCCAAAGAUGACAUUUUUGAAGGCACUUCUAAAAGGGAUAGCAUCACCACCAGUCUGCCAAAGAUCAUGAAGGUGGACAGUCUCUCCACCAUUUAUCUCCUUUGGAAGUAACAGUUUUCGCUUCUUUCCCAUCUCCCAUCUUAACACACUUUUCUCAUCGUCCACCACAUAAUAAUUAUACUCACAACUAAAUUCGAUUGGAGUUGCAACACUUCCAUACCAUAUGAGCUCCUCAUCCUCAUGAACGGGACUCAAUAACAAGCCCUUCUUCACAUCCCAUGAACCCAGGAGCGGCUCAGAACCGCAAACAAGCAGCCUCUGACCCCAGUGAGUGUAAUAUGGUAAUCUAAAGCUCACAUUCACUGAUUUCAAAGACUUGGUCCCAGAAAACAAUCCCAAAUUGGCCAUUUUCGUUGAGAGAGAAAUCAGAGGAAGAUGAUACUUUCCUUGAACCAAAAGGGAUUAGUUUCCACUUCUGGGUAUGAAGGGAAUAGUGUGUGUUAUGAGAGAAAGGAGUAGAGAAGAAACAAAGGGAAUCUAACAGUGGGAUUGUUAUGGCUGUAUCUUCACAGAGAUAUCCAGCAUGUGUAGGAUAGAAACGCUUAUCGCUUGCUCCGUGAGGGAAGAUAUUUUCUUUUUUCAAAUAAAGGAAAAAGGAAAAUUAAUUGUUUAUUUGAGAUGCAAAUAGAGGGGAAGUGAUACUUUUUCCUUUUCACUGUGAAAGAGAACGAGGAAAGUGUCUUUUAGCUGAUGAGAUGACGAAACUGAAAGCUCCUUUCACGGGAGAAGGAGACAAUUGGCUUUAGAGCUAAAGCUGAGAUUUGAGAAUGAGGCUCUCCUAUUUCUAGUCUUGCAUCACUGGUUUCUUU
rnacentral:misc_RNA from 1 species